GGGCCAUAGCUCAGCUGGUAGAGCGCUUGGCUGGCAGCCAAGAGGUCAGGGGUUCGAAUCCCCU
rnacentral:tRNA from 1 species